rnacentral:rRNA from 1 species
UACGUAGGGUGCGAGCGUUUAAUCGGAAUUACUGGGCGUAAAGCGUGCGCAGGCGGUUUUGUAAGUCAGAUGUGAAAUCCCCGGGCUUAACCUGGGAACUGCGUUUGAAACUACAAGGCUAGAGUGUGGCAGAGGGGGGUGGAAUUCCACGUGUAGCAGUGAAAUGCGUAGAGAUGUGGAGGAACACCGAUGGCGGAAGGCAGCCCCCUGGGUUAACACUGACGCUCAGGCACGAAAGCUAGGGGAGCAAACAGG